rnacentral:rRNA from 1 species
AUUGCCCUAGUAACGGCGAGUGAAGCGGCAACAGCUCAAAUUUGAAAUCUGGCCUUCGGGUCCGAGUUGUAAUUUGUAGAGGAUGCUUUUGGUGAGGUGCCUUCCGAGUUCCCUGGAACGGGACGCCAUAGAGGGUGAGAGCCCCGUCUGGUUGGACACCGAUCCUCUGUAAAGCUCCUUCGACGAGUCGAGUAGUUUGGGAAUGCUGCUCUAAAUGGGAGGUAUAUGUCUUCUAAAGCUAAAUAUUGGCCAGAGACCGAUAGCGCACAAGUAGAGUGAUCGAAAGAUGAAAAGCACUUUGAAAAGAGAGUUAAAAAGUACGUGAAAUUGUUGAAAGGGAAGCGCUCAUGACCAGACUUGGGCUUGGUUGAUCAUCCAGGGUUCUCCCUGGUGCACUCUUCCAGUUCAGGCCAGCAUCAGUUCGCUGCGGGGGAUAAAGGCUUUGGGAAUGUGGCUCCUUCGGGAGUGUUAUAGCCCAUUGUGUAAUACCCUGUGGUGGACUGAGGUUCGCGCAUUCGCAAGGAUGCUGGCGUAAUGGUCAUCAGCGACCCGUCUUGAAACACGGACCAAGGAGUCGUCUUCGUAUGCGAGUGUUCGGGUGUUAAACCCCUACGCGUAAUGAAAGUGAACGCAGGUGAGAGCUUCGGCGCAUCAUCGACCGAUCCUGAUGUUCUCGGAUGGAUUUGAGUAAGAGCAUACGGGCCGGACCCGAAAGAAGGUGAACUAUGCCUGUAUAGGGUGAAGCCAGAGGAAACUCUGGUGGAGGCUCGCAGCGGUUCUGACGUGCAAAUCGAUCGUCAAAUAUGGGCAUGGGGGCGAAAGACUAAUCGAACCUUCUAGUAGCUGGUUUCCGCGA